AGGAAUCUGCAUGCAUCACUUAAAAGGUUUCAGAAACCCUAACUUUUGAAUUGGGGAGUUGUGGAGGUAUUCAGGGGUAAAUAACCAUGGUUUUGUGGUGAAGGGGGUGGGGAUAUCUUAGGGUGUCAUUUUGGUUUGGUUUAGAGAUGGGGUGAUUUUGUGGUCGGAUUUCAAAUUAAUAUUCGAGUCGUUGGAAUGUGAUUCGAGGGGAGCUGGUGUUAGAUUCGUGACAAGGGUGGAAAGGGGAUGCUAUGGUGUAUUUUUGGUGGCCGUCUGAGCCAGUGCUGCCGUAGACGGCGGAACAACAAACCUUUUGAUCAAAGAUUUGAGAAGAAGGGUUAUGAUUCGAGGGUUGAUACUUGGGGCGUUGGAAUGAGGAGGAGGAAGGGAUUCAGGGGUGUAUUUUUGGGGUUGAUUGGAGGCCGACCGGCGGCAGCGGACGGCGGAGAUAAGGUACGAG
rnacentral:lncRNA from 1 species